ACAAUAUUCGGACUGUGUCGGUCUACCGAGCAAUAUCACCCGCUCAGUGGAAGAUCUUUCCUUCGUCGU
rnacentral:pre_miRNA from 1 species